AUUUUAUUGGAGACAUAUGAUAAAAUUGGGAUGGUACAAAGAUUAGCAUGGCCCCUGCCCAAGGAUAUGCAUCCUUUUUAGAUUCAGAAAUACAUGCUU